AGCAAACGCUUAUCCAGAGCUGCUUGGCUACAAACGUGAUUUGACAUCUACGCAAAGAAUGCAUCCUAGCAAAGUAGGCUAGAGUCCAAUAUAGUAGGGAACUAGGUUACUGCUGGAUGCAUGGGAAUGUUGAUACCGAACAAGUACAAUACCAAACACUAUAUAAGUGUACAUGAAUCGAAAUGACAUCACUCCAGGACCAUGGUGCAACACAAAAGAGAAGCACAAGUGCAAACACUAAUUGAAGAGCCUGAUGCAAUGGGGGAGGAAACUGUUGCACGGUCUGUUCAUGAGGGCCCAAAUGCUUCAAUACAUCUACCCAGACAGUGGGAGAGAGACAUGUUUGUGUGUAGGAUCAUCCACAAGGCUGACAGCUUUGUGAACACAGCGUGUGGUGUAAGUGUCCAUGAUGGAGGGGAGAGACACCCCAAUAUUCAGCUGUCCUCAGUAUCUUCUGCAGCGUCUUGCGGUCUGAGACGGAGAAAUUCCAGGCAGGAACACAGCUGCUGUGGAUGCUUGCUGUUGUUCCUCUGAAGAACAUGGUGAGGAUGCAGGCAGAGCGCUUUCUUCAGCCUUCUCAGGAAAUAGUCGCUGCUGGGCUUUCUUGACUAUGGAGCUAGUAUUGAGAAUACACGUGAGGUACUCUGCUAGGUGGACACCAAGGAACUCGGUGCUUGUGAAGAUUUCCACAGAGUAUCUGUUGGAGAGGGAUCAGCUCCAUACUUUCCUGGUCAACUAUCAUCUAUCUUUUUUGUCUGCAUACAGAGACAUAUUUUUACAUUUGCACCAGUCCGUUAGCCAUUGCACCUCCUCUCCAUAUGAUGACUUGUCAUCCCUGCUAAUGAAACCCACCACAGUCACGUCAUCAGUAAAUUUGAUGCUUGCUCUGAGCUCUGCAUCGAUGCACAGUCAUGGUCAGCUGAGUGAACCUCGACUGUGACAUUAGACGUCAACAGGAACCCUGCAUCACCACUUCAUGUCUCCCAUCACCAGGGGGUGAGCAGUCUUUACAUUUACAGCAUCUGUCAGACACUCGUGUCCACGGUGUUCACGGUGACCUUGGUGUUGCUUGAUCUAGCUGUCUUUCUUUCACCUAGUGCAAGAUUUUAUGCCUAUAAAGUUGUUUUUUUUGUGUGUGUUAUAUUUGGUAAUUUAGUUUUGAAAAUAGGAGUAGUUAGAAAUAUAGGCUAUAUUGUAGGGUGAACUAAACUGAAGUGGGGCACUUUUUGGUAGAUGCACAAGGGGACACUCAUAAUUGUCACUGUAUUGAAUAUAGUUUUUAUUUUGAUAUUAUAGAUCCUGCAACAGAGCUGUUUUUCCAGCUAUAGUGGGACAGUUUAUCUGCAAAAGACGGUCAGUGUUACAGGAAAUGUAACUGCUAGGCUAUACAUUACUGAAGGUUCAGUAACAUCAUGUGUUGAGCAAUAAACCAUUAAAUCACAUUUUGCUGAAAGAACAACAAUUAUUUUAACUGGCCCAAAAUAUAAAAUACAAAGAAAUAUGUAGGUAAAAUACAUUGCCUGGCCAAAAAAAAA